rnacentral:rRNA from 1 species
CCAGACUCCUACGGGAGGCAGCAGUGGGGAAUAUUGGGCAAUGGGCGCAAGCCUGACCCAGCAACGCCGCGUGAAGGAAGAAGGCUUUCGGGUUGUAAACUUCUUUUAAGAGGGAAGAGAAGAAGACGGUACCUCUUGAAUAAGCCACGGCUAACUACGUGCCAGCAGCCGCGGUAAUACGUAGGUGGCAAGCGUUGUCCGGAUUUACUGGGUGUAAAGGGCGUGCAGCCGGGCUGACAAGUCAGAUGUGAAAUCCCGCGGCUCAACCGCGGAACUGCAUUUGAAACUGGGUGUCUUGAGGGCAGGAGAGGAAAGUGGAAUUCCUAGUGUAGCGGUGAAAUGCGUAGAUAUUAGGAGGAACACCAGUGGCGAAGGCGACUUUCUGGACUGUACCUGACGCUGAGGCGCGAAAGCGUGGGUAGCGAACGGGAUUAGAUACCCUGGUAGA